CUCUAACAUUGCGUUUGGUUCGGAUAUAAAUAAGAACUGUUUAUUAUAGGGAUAGAUACAAGUUAAGGAAUAAGCUGGAACUAGACUAAUUUUUACAUUUGGAUGAAAAUUAAGUUAUUCCAAGAAAUAAGAUAAAAGAUGUUUGGAUUGUUAGAUUAGAACAAGAGGAAUAAGAGUUAUAAUUUGAAAUUAAAAUCAUAUUAUCUAAUUAAUUAACAUCAAAAUAUUACUUAAAAUAAAUAAUAAAUAAAUUAUAUUAUUAAUUAUUAAUAAUUAAUUAUAAAUAAUAAAAUAAUAAUAUAGAUUAUCUAAUUAUCAGUAAUAAUUAUUAAUAAUUAUUAAUUAAUAAUAAUAUCGAUUAUCUAAUUAUUAAUUAUUAUUAUUGUUAUUAAUUAUUAAAAAUUAAUUAUAAAUAAUAAAUUAAUAAUAAUAUUGAUUAUCUAAUUAUUAAGUAUAAUUAUUAUUAAUAAUAAUUAAUAAUUAAUUAUAAAUAAUAAAUUAAUUAUUUAUUUUAUUAUUUAAGCAAUAAAUUAUAAUUUAAAUAUAUUUAUUAGAUUAAUUAAUGAUUUACUGUCAUUAAAAUUAAAUUUAGAUUUUAAUUAAGCUUGUUUUCACCCGAGAACAAGCUUGUUCUAGAAAAAAUAUGGAACAACAGUUACAUCAGCCUCAUACGAGUUUAUUCCAAAAAUUCAAAAAUUACUGUUCUCGAAAACCAAACACGACGUUUGGAAAUAAAGGGAGAACAAGGAUUUAUUCCCUCCCUUAUUUCCGAACCAAACGCAACCUAAAAUAUCAUAUCAAUAAUUCGAAGUACACGUUUAUUUUUUAAAAAAGAAUUAAAAAUUUGUGGAAAUAAUAUUUAAAUAUUGAAUAUUGAACAAAUAUUUAUUUAACAGUAAAAGGAGUAAAAUAGAAAUUGGGAGAGGGGG
rnacentral:lncRNA from 1 species